AAUAGAUAUGGAAAUUUUUUUUAUUUUUUUUUUUAUUUACUUGUUAUUGGAGGCGGAGAGUCGCUUUGACGGCUUCGGCGGCAGCAAAACCUGCGACGGAUUUUUCUCAGGCUGGCAGUGCGCAGUGGAGAGGUCAAAACGGCAUGUGCUGUCCUGCACAACAUCUGCCUGGGAGCUGGUGAUAUCACGGCCCCAGAGGAUGACAUGCCAGAGGAUGAGGAGGGGAGAACGUGUUGGAGGCAGUCAGUGGUGCUCCAUGGAGGGACCAGCUGUCUGCCAAGUAACAUGGCAGCCGUCAAUUGGGGCAGCUGUCGAUUGGGUCAGCCCUGCAAACCCUGAUGGAUGAUGUGGUGAACAGUGGAGAGAGGCACCCCCACCCCCCAGAUGAUGUCCCACUCACAGUCAGAAGACUCCAAGGUCAUCUGUGUGGCAUCGCAUCCAGUCCAGCAGCACCACCAGGGACUCCUGCUCAGUCAC